rnacentral:rRNA from 1 species
GAUGAACGCUAGCGGCAGGCCUAAUACAUGCAAGUCGAACGGGAUCCAGAUCAAAGCUUGCUUUGGUCUGGUGAGAGUGGCGCACGGGUGCGUAACGCGUGAGCAACCUACCCUUGUCAGGGGGAUAGCCCGGCGAAAGUCGGAUUAAUACCGCAUGACAUCAUUGAGAGGCAUCUUUCGAUGAUCAAAGAUUUAUCGGACAAGGAUGGGCUCGCGUGACAUUAGCUAGUUGGUAAGGUAACGGCUUACCAAGGCUGCGAUGUCUAGGGGCUCUGAGAGGAGAAUCCCCCACACUGGUACUGAGACACGGACCAGACUCCUACGGGAGGCAGCAGUAAGGGAUAUUGGUCAAUGGACGGAAGUCUGAACCAGCCAUGCCGCGUGCAGGAAGACGGCCCUAUGGGUUGUAAACUGCUUUUAUACGGGAACAAACGUCGGUACGCGUACCGGUCUGAGUGUACCGUAAGAAUAAGGAUCGGCUAACUCCGUG